CCCAGUUCGGAUUGUAGUCUGNAACCCGACUACAUGAAGCUGGAAUCGCUAGUAAUCGCGAAUCAGAAUGUCGCGGUGAAUACGUUCCCGGGUCUUGUACACACCGCCCGUCACACCAUGGGAGUCGGAAAUGCCCGAAGUCAGUGACCCAACCGUAAGGAGGGAGCUGCCGAAGGUGGAGCCGGUAACUGGGGUGAAGUCGUAACAAGGUAUC
rnacentral:rRNA from 1 species